rnacentral:rRNA from 1 species
UUAGGAAUCUUGCGCAAUGGGCGAAAGCCUGACGCAGCGACGCCGCGUGUGUGAUGACGGCCUUCGGGUUGUAAAGCACUUUUCUGAGGGAAGAAGAAUGUGACGGUACCUCAGGAAUAAGCCCCGGCUAACUACGUGCCAGCAGCCGCGGUAAUACGUAGGGGGCGAGCGUUGUCCGGAUUUACUGGGCGUAAAGCGCGCGUAGGCGGCUCGUUAAGUCGAGUGUGAAAGGUUGGGGCUCAACCCCAACACUGCGCUCGAUACUGGCGGGCUUGAGGUAUGGAGAGGGAAGUGGAAUUCCUGGUGUAGCGGUGAAAUGCGUAGAUAUCAGGAGGAACACCCGUGGCGAAGGCGGCUUCCUGGCCAUAUCCUGACGCUGAGGUGCGAAAGCCAGGGGAGCGAACGGG